rnacentral:tRNA from 1 species
GGGCAAUUAGCUCAGUUGGUUCAGAGCACUGCUUUCACACGGCAGGGGUCGCAGGUUCAACUCCUGCAUUGCCCA